rnacentral:rRNA from 1 species
GACGAACCGUGCGAACGUUAUUCGGAAUCACUGGGCUUAAAGGGCGCGUAGGCGGGCGGACAAGUCGGGGGGGAAAUCGUUCGGCCCAACCGGACAAGGGCCCCCGAUACUGGCCGUCUGGAGGGAGGUAGGGGUCGAUGGAACUUCCGGUGGAGCGGUGAAAUGCGUAGAUAUCGGGAGGAAUACCUAUGGCGAAGGCAGGUUACUGGGCCAUCACUGACGCUGAGCUGCGAAAGCUAGGGGAGCAAACAGG